rnacentral:rRNA from 1 species
UACGUAGGGUGCAAGCGUUGUCCGGAAUUAUUGGGCGUAAAGAGCUCGUAGGCGGUCUGUCGCGUCGGCUGUGAAAACCUGGGGCUUAACUCCGGGCCUGCAGCCGAUACGGGCAGACUAGAGUUCGGCAGGGGAGACUGGAAUUCCCGGUGUAGAGGUGAAAUUCGUAGAUAUCGGGAGGAACACCGGUGGCGAAGGCGGCGAUCUGGGUCGAUACUGACGCUGAGGUGCGAAAGCGUGGGGAGCAAACAGG